GGUUGGAUCAUUAUUGAAACAACCUAUGCGGAGGGAGAGAGAGAGAGGAGGGCAACUGACUCUCUCUCAUUCCUCCUGCAUUAUCCACCUCUGUGCACUGUCGUUGGUCUUGGAGUAGAGAUUCGUCCCUGCUCCAAGUCUGACAAUCCACUCUGAUUUAUUCUAGUCUGACUUUUUGUUAUUAAACAACUUAAUAUCAUAAACAACUUUUAACAACGGAUCUCUUGGCUCUCGCAACGAUGAAGAACGCAGCGAAACGCGAUAUGUAAUGUGAAUUGCAGAAUUCCGUGAAUCAUCAAAUCUUUGAACGCACCUUGCACUCUUUGGUACUCCGAAGAGUAUGCCUGUUUGAGUAUCGAUAUACACCCUCCCAAGGACUGGCUUGUGUAAAAGCAGGUCGGCCCCCCUGGGGACUGUUGAGAGUCUGAAGCCCUUCCCUCGCCCUUCAUUGGGCAGGGGAGAGCUCCAGUCUUUUGAAUAUCAUGGUGGGCCUUUCUCAAUGAGAGAGAACUACUGGGAAAAAUAGUUGAAUGUUUUCGGACUCCUCUUAUUGACUACCAUCUCUCUUGCUCAGACAACUACCCUCGGGUUUUUGAAUGAGGAGACUUGACCCCUCCCCAACACACCAACUUAGUACUUGGUCUCAAAUCAGGCAGGAAGACCCGCUGAACUUAAGCAUAUCAAUAAGCGGAGGAAAAGAAACUAACAAGGAUUCCCCUAGUAACGGCGAGUGAAGCGGGAAUAGCUCAAAUUUGAAAUCUCCUAGGUUAGCCUGGGCGAAUUGUAAUUUAGAGAAGCGUUUUCGGGAGCGACGGGGGCAUAAGUCCUUUGGAACAAGGUAUCAGAGAGGGUGAGAAUCCCGUACUUGGCCUCCUGUUCGCUUCCAUGUGAUACGCUCUCCAAGAGUCGGUUUGUUUGGGAAUGCAGACCAAAAUGGGUGGUAAAUACCAUCUAAAGCUAAAUAUUGGCGAGAGACCGAUAGCGAACAAGUACCGUGAGGGAAAGAUGAAAAGAACUUUGAAAAGAGAGUUAAAUAGUACGUGAAAUUGUUAAAAGGGAACCGUUUGAAACCAGUAUUGCUUGUGGGAAAUCAGCUCGGCAUCUUGGUCGGGUGCACUUUCCCUCAGUGCAGGUCAACAUCAGUUUGGCCUGUGGUAAAAGACGUGAGGAAGGUAGCCCCUCGGGGUGUUAUAGCCUUGCGUGCAUGCCAUGGGCUGGACUGAGGAAUGCAGUGCUUCUUUGGGUAACGGGUCGCCUCUUGAAAGGGCCGUGCCAGACAGCUUGCUGACUGGUUUGGACCGUAGGGAGCACGGCUCGCUAUUUCUACACCAGCGCUUAGGAUGCUUGACGAAAUGGUUUUUAAACGACCCGUCUUGAAACACGGACCAAGGAGUCUAACACAUAUGCGAGUAUUUGGGUGGCAAACCCUUGUGCGUAAUGAAAGUGAACUUUGGUGGGAUUUUUUUAUGCACCAUCGACCGGUCAGGAUUAUUUAUAUGAUAGAUCUGAGUAAGAGCAUAUUUGUUGGGACCCGAAAGAUGGUGAACUAUGCCUGAAUAGGGUGAAGCCAGAGGAGACUCUGGUGGAGGCUCGUAGCGAUUCUGACGUGCAAAUCGAUCGUCGAAUUUGGGUAUAGGGGCGAAAGACUAAUCGAACCAUCUAGUAGCUGGUUCCCUC
rnacentral:misc_RNA from 1 species